rnacentral:rRNA from 1 species
GACGAACGCUGGCGGCGUGCCUAAUACAUGCAAGUCGAGCGAACAGACGAGGACCUUCCUCCUCUGCCUUUGCCGCCGGCCGGUGGGUUACCCCUUGGCUACCCUCCUUUUAAGCUUGGAUUACCUUCGGAAACCCGGAGCUAUUCCCGGUUACUCUUUUCCUCCCCUUGGUUCAAUCUUAAAAAUCGCUUUUGCUUUCCCUUUUCGAUUGAUCCCCGCCGCAUUAGCUAGUUGGUAAGGUAACGGCUUACCAAGGCCACGAUGCGUAGCCGACCUGAGAGGGUGAUCGGCCACACUGGAACUGAGACACGGCCCAGACUCCUACGGGAGGCAGCAGUAGGGAAUCUUCCGCAAUGGGCGAAAGCCUGACGGAGCAACGCCGCGUGAGUGAUGAAGGUCUUCGGAUCGUAAAACUCUGUUAUUAGGGAAGAACAAAUGUGGAAGUAACUACGCACGUCUUGACGGUACCUAAUCAGAAAGCCACGGCUAACUACGUG